rnacentral:rRNA from 1 species
AACGAACGCUGGCGGCAUGCCUAACACAUGCAAGUCGAACGAGACCUUCGGGUCUAGUGGCGCACGGGUGCGUAACGCGUGGGAAUCUGCCCUUGGGUCCGGAACAACAGUUAGAAAUGACUGCUAAUACCGGAUGAUGACUUCGGUCCAAAGAUUUAUCGCCCAGGGAUGAGCCCGCGUCGGAUUAGCUAGUUGGUGAGGUAAAGGCUCACCAAGGCGACGAUCCGUAGCUGGUCCGAGAGGAUGAUCAGCCACACUGGGACUGAGACACGGCCCAGACUCCUACGGGAGGCAGCAGUGGGGAAUAUUGGACAAUGGGCGAAAGCCUGAUCCAGCAAUGCCGCGUGAGUGAUGAAGGCCUUAGGGUUGUAAAGCUCUUUUACCCGGGAUGAUAAUGGCAGUACCGGGAGAAUAAGCCCCGGCUAACUCCGUGCCAGCAGCCUCCGUAA